GUCAUUCUUACUAAAGAUAACCUUAUUAAGAGGAAUUGGCAUGGAAGCCCGCAGUGUGUAUUUUGUCACCAUGAGGAGACAAUAAAACAUUUAUUCUUUCAAUGCAAAUUGGCUCGUUCUAUAUGGUCAGUCAUCCAAAUAGCUUCUAGCUUGUAUCCUCCCUGUAGUGUUGCUAAUGUAUUUGGCAACUGGUUACAUGGGAUUGAUCACAGGUUUAGAACUCUUCUCAGGGUGGGAGCGCUUGCCAUUAUUUGGUCGCUUUGGCUAUGUAGAAAUGAUAAGGUUUUUAACGAUAAAAGUACUUCUCUGUUGCAGGUUAUCUACGAUGUACCGGGACUCUUCGUUUAUGGUCCUCUCUAUAACGCGUGGAGAAUCGAGGCCUGUUUACGGAGGUGUGUACACGAUUGGAGGCUACGGCGAGGGAUACUUUUACCCAACAUGGAUGGCAGCAUGAUCUAA
rnacentral:rRNA from 1 species